UACGGAGGGUGCAAGCGUUAUCCGGAUUCACUGGGUUUAAAGGGUGCGUAGGCGGAUAUGUAAGUCCGUGGUGAAAUCUCUGGGCUUAACCCGGAAACUGCCAUGGAUACUAUGUGUCUUGAAUGUUGUUGAGGUGAGCGGAAUAUGUCAUGUAGCGGUGAAAUGCUUAGAUAUGACAUAGAACACCUAUUGCGAAGGCAGCUCACUACGGGAUUAUUGACACUGAGGCACGAAAGCGUGGGGAUCAAACAGG
rnacentral:rRNA from 1 species